GCCUUGGUAGCUCAAUUGGCUAGAGCGUGGGACUUUUACAAAUCUGGAAAUAUCCUCUGGAUUCUAAGGAAUCCCAAGGUUGCGGGUUCGACCCCCGCCUGAGGCG